GACGAACGCUGGCGGCGUGCUUAACACAUGCAAGUCGAACGGAAAGGCCCUGCUUUUGUGGGGUGCUCGAGUGGCGAACGGGUGAGUAACACGUGAGUAACCUGCCCUUGACUUUGGGAUAACUUCAGGAAACUGGGGCUAAUACCGGAUAGGAGCUCCUGCUGCAUGGUGGGGGUUGGAAAGUUUCGGCGGUUGGGGAUGGACUCGCGGCUUAUCAGCUUGUUGGUGGGGUAGUGGCUUACCAAGGCUUUGACGGGUAGCCGGCCUGAGAGGGUGACCGGCGACAUUGGGACUGAGAUACGGCCCAGACUCCUACUGGAGGCAGCAGUGGGGAAUAUUGCACAAUGGGCGGAAGCCUGAUGCAGCAACGCCGCGUGCGGGAUGACGGCCUUCGGGUUGUAAACCGCUUUCGCCUGUGACGAAGUGUGAGUGACGGUAAUGGGUAAAGAAGCACCGGCUAACUACGUG
rnacentral:rRNA from 1 species